UUUUUUUUGUACAUUAGCCCAUGUUUGAAUGUAUUGACUAUCUUGUUCGUCUCUUUUUUACGCUAUAUCCCAACUUAUGAAUGUGGCUCGAUUCUUAAAUGUAUCUGGUUGGGAAGUUUAUGAGGCUGGAAAGACAAAUAUACUAUGAAGAAAUGUCAGAAAAAAGUUUAAAGAUAGUAACUUUUUUUAGUGACACUAAAGAUUAGCAUGUUGCCGUAGCAUCAUUUCUUUUUUGAAUUGCUUUUUCUUGAGCUGAAUCGGGGAAACAACCUCGCUCUCUACCUAGGGGUAAGGUUUGUGUACUCUCUACCCUGCCCACCCCAACUUGUGCAAAUACAUUGGGUAUUGUUAAUGUUGUUGUUGUUGUACUAAAGAUUAACAUGAAGUUGGCUUCUUGUUGCCAGUGUAUGAUCUUCUCUUUUUCUCCGAUUAAUUUGUGGCGAUUUUCAUUUCCUUAAUCUGAAAUGCUUCAAGAAGGCAAACUCAAUGGAUUUGAUUCGUUCCAUAACUAUUUAUCUAGAAGUACUUAUGUAUGUUAAGAAGAAGGGAGCAAAUUAGACUGUUAAAUCAAUUGAAGCCUUGAUUACCGCCUCUCAAGUUCCCCCGAUUGAUCCCACGAUAGAGUUGCGCGAUCUUGAUGCUUUCCAGAAUAUUGAAGUUCCUCAUAGCUAUGUUUUUCUAGAUAAUAAUUAAUCAAAUAAAGUGAUGCGUUCACUUUUAUUCCAAAUGUCUGUACAAAAAGGAAAUUGAAAAUGGUGGAUAGAUUAUCAUAUAUAUAGAUCCUAGUUUCUCUUGAAGAUACUUCCUUAUUUAAUAUUUCCAUUGUUGUUUGUUCCAAUUUAAACAAGAGAUAUUUAUUAAAAUCAUCCUUCAUUA